rnacentral:rRNA from 1 species
UACGAAGGGGGCUAGCGUUGCUCGGAAUCACUGGGCGUAAAGCGCACGUAGGCGGAUUGUUAAGUCAGGGGUGAAAUCCUGGAGCUCAACUCCAGAACUGCCUUUGAUACUGGCGAUCUUGAGUCCGGGAGAGGUGAGUGGAACUCCGAGUGUAGAGGUGAAAUUCGUAGAUAUUCGGAAGAACACCAGUGGCGAAGGCGGCGCACUGGCCCGGUACUGACGCUGAGGUGCGAAAGCGUGGGGAGCAAACAGG